GUAUGUUUUGGCAGCACAUAUACUAAAACUGGAAUGACACAGAGAAGAUUAGCAUGGCGCCUGCCCAAAGAUGACAUGCAAAUUUGUGAAGCAUUCUUUAUUUUU